GUUGAACGCUGGCGGCAUGCCUAACACCUGCAAGUCGAACGCGUGGCGGACGGUUGUGUAAUAUCUGGGAAACUGCCCCAUGGAGGGGGAUAACUAUUGGAAACGGUAGCUAAUACCGCAUACCAGCUGAUGUGCUCAGAUGGGAUUAGCUAGUAGGUGGGGUAGCGGCUCACCUAGGCGACGAUCCCUAGCUGGGCUGAGAGGAUGAAGAGCCACACUGGAACUGAGACACGGUCCAGAUGCCUACGGCAGGCAGCAGUGGGGAGUAUCGCACAAUGGGCGCAAGCCUGAUGCAGCCGUGCCGCGUGUAUGAAGAAGGCCUUCGGGUUGGAAAGUACUUUCAGCGCGGACGCGUUACUCGCAGAAGAAGCACCGGCUAACUCCGUGCCAGCAGCCGCGGUAAUUC
rnacentral:rRNA from 1 species